CGCGCUCUAGCCUCACCCCUAAGGUGGUCCCCGCUGCGACCCUCGCGCGGCAGAGUCCAGCAGAGCCCCGCGAUGGCCAGUGCUGGGCGCCCUUCCCUCAAGAUGUGGUGGGAAAUGCUGGGCUCUCUGACAAAUCAGCUUCUCUGUCAGCAACCAGCGGCUGGCCAUUGCUGCUGAUUUCUUCACUCAAGUGACACAGCUCGAAAACCAGACAGUGACUGUGCAGGUCAGAGUGGGUGUCCCAGGACCUCUGUGCCCUCAGGCCCCCAAGUCGUCCAGGCCUGUCUUCCAGCAUGUAGAUCUUGGGUGGCUCUGUGACUGCCUGACCUGAUCCGGUGUUUCAAGGAAAGCUGGCUGAAUUGCCCCCUACUUUCCCUGCCUGAGGCCCCUGGCUUCCUGGCGUAGCUCUGGAGGUUUGGACUUCUGAGUUAGUCAUCCUUUUGUUGGCAAGGAUGGAUUGCAGCCCAACAGUGUAACUGGGCCUCUGCCUCAUCGGUGCAGCUCCAACCCUCUCGGGCAUGGUGCUGUACCACAGCCCCCCACUGCUGUUCUCUGGUCUUUGAUGUCACAGUGGCUGCCGCCUUCCUUCCAAUGGCUGCUUGGUGGGCGGAGUUCCUGCUGCCAGCUGGUCCUCCCAACCCCACAGAAUUCCCCUUUGUGAUGCUUGGGAAUGAGUCUGACCUCCCGGCCUGUGCGAAGCUGUGCAUUGUAGCUGCUGUGUUGCCUCCACUCUCCGCCUUGCUCAUGCUCAGGGGCAGGGUCGAGGCUUUCGGUCCAGCCGGGCUCGUUAUCUACCCACACUGCCCAGAUGCCUGUCAUUAUUUAUAAAGGGCAACCUUUGCCCUGC